rnacentral:rRNA from 1 species
GCCCUUACGGCUCAGUAACACGUGGAUAACCUGCCCUUGGGACCGGCAUAACCCCGGGAAACUGGGGAUAAUUCCGGAUGACGCAUAUGUGCUGGAAUGCUUUAUGCGUAAAAUGGAUUCGUCCGCCCAAGGAUGGGUCUGCGGCCUAUCAGGUAGUAGUGGGUGUAAUGUACCUACUAGCCGACAACGGGUACGGGUUGUGAGAGCAAGAGCCCGGAGAUGGAUUCUGAGACAUGAAUCCAGGCCCUACGGGGCGCAGCAGGCGCGAAAACUUUACAAUGCGGGAAACCGUGAUAAGGGGACACCGAGUGUCAGCAUCAUAUGCUGGCUGUCCAGGUGUGUAAAAUACACCUGUUAGCAAGGGCCGGGCAAGACCGGUGCCAGCCGCCGCGGUAACACCGGCGGCCCGAGUGGUGAUCGUGAUUAUUGGGUCUAAAGGGUCCGUAGCCGGUUUGGUCAGUCCUCCGGGAAAUCUGAUAGCUCAACUAUUAGGCUAUCGGGGGAUACUACCAGACUUGGAACCGGGAGAGGUAAGAGGUACUACAGGGGUAGGAGUGAAAUCUUGUAAUCCCUGUGGGACCACCUGUGGCGAAGGCGUCUUACCAGAACGGGUUCGACGGUGAGGGACGAAAGCUGGGGGCACGAACCGGAUUAGAUACCCGGGUAGUCCCAGCCGUAAACGAUGCUCGCUAGGUGUCAGGCAUGGCGCGACCGUGUCUGGUGCCGCAGGGAAGCCGUGAAGCGAGCCACCUGGGAAGUACGGCCGCAAGGCUGAAACUUAAAGGAAUUGGCGG